AAAAAAAAAACAAACAAACAAAAAAUGACAAUAUUUAACAUAGAUAAGUUCACCAAGUGUCUGUCAUGGGCCACUCUCAACACAUCACAAUCUUCACCCAUCAAAUUUGACUUGUCACUCCCUAUAACAAAGUUCUCCUCACCUCCUUCAUAGUUUUCACAACCCCCAAACUUUUUGGUCACCAACUUCCCUAAUGGAUGCAGAAAUCGACAACACAUUACUACAUGACUUCAAAUGCCCCCUUAUGAUGAAAUAGAGGCAAACCAUGUGUGCCCAGCAAUCCAAUCACUGCUGAAAUAACUUGUGAGACAGACACCAAAGAAAAACUUAUCUAAUCACCCAAACUCUUCAUAAGUUCCUAACAAGCACCAAUAUCUUGUAGGAGAAUAACUUGAUAGAAUUGGAAAGAACAGUGGAGCCCUCAUGGCCAAAACUGGUUGAACCACUGGAGAAGAUCACAGACAGGCUAGCGGUCGUGUGGUGGCCAUCUUAGCUCUGUGAAAGACUCUCCUCAGCUAAGAGCUGCAAUUGAAGAAAUCCAGCCGAAGCAGACUGAAUUCGAGCUGAAGUUAAGGCAGAGCAGGACCAUUUAUGAAUGGUUUAAAAGCUCUUAGAGAAUCAUCAAGCUGGGAAAGCUUGAGUGAAGCAAAGAAAAGAGUUGUGGAGUGUGAGUUUGUCAAAGUAGCCAAAAGUCUAUAUUAUAGAAUACUCAAAUUUUAAAUAUCCUAAUGAAAGCCUGACACAGUCAAGCUGAAAGAAGCUGGUUCCCAUGGAGUUUCCUUUGAGCAUGGUUCAAGAGAGCGUUUUAAUGAGAUAGAGCAGGUACUUUGGAUAGAAUGAUAAUUUUAAUUUGCACUAAAUGAUAGUCCAUUUCCCUAAUUCUGUGCAUUGGGAAUUGGGAAAACUUGCUCAAAUUUUUGAAGAGAACAUUUUAGAUGCUACAGUUUGAGAAAGUCAUCACAGAGACAAAAAAGAAAUCGAGGAUGUGCCUUUUACAACCUUGGAAAUAACUGCAGAGAGUACAGUUCUUAAGGUGCUACAUUUUUAGCAAUUUCUAUUUUUCCCUAAAAAUUGAUUUCCUCCCAUUUUCCUUCUCUCUAACAACUGGCCCUUGGAUUAUAACGGGCCCGAACUAUCACUCUAUAUUGCAACAUCAAUGCAACAGAUCGUUAAGGGAGGAAUUUUUCCGUGCAUACAUCGCAGGCGCAUCAGAUGAGGUCCUAAACAAUGCACUAAUCAUUGAACGCAUUUUGGCACUUAGGCAGGAGAAAGCAAAGCUUCUUGGCUAUAGAAACUAUACUGAGGUCAGCUUUGAGACUAAAAUGGCAACCCUGGAUAAGGCAAAGGAUCUUAUAGAGAAGCUUUAUGCUGCUUCUUGGGGACAUGCAGUUAAGGGUGUGUUUGGACUUAGGAUGAUUAUGUUCCGUAUGUGGGUAGUAUGUAUUAUUUUGAUUUGCUGAAUUACAUGUGAUUCUCUAGACAUGGAAGAGCUUAGAGAGUUUGCCAAUAAGGAGAUGCAUUAUAUGAGUCAAAACAUGGCCUGAAUGAGGUUGGUUUCUCAUCUAAUGGUUUUCCAUUGCCAAGGUUAUAGAAAAGGUAUGAUGACUACUUUACUUCAUACAAUGAAGCAUUCUUC